GCAUUUUAAUGUGGUAUUUUAAUAGUUAAUUCCUCACAUUUUGCUUAGUUAAUUCCUUAACGAAUCGAUUUUUAACUCAAUUUCUAUUUUCUUAGGUACAUUGGAGUAAAUGAUGGUGAAAUGAGCAUUAGGUCCACACUUACCUAUAAAUGGUGGAGAAAAAUGGAAAUGUACUAAAAUGUCAAUUUUACACAUUUUCCUACUCCGGCUAGGAGAAACCAAGCCAAGCAAGGAAGAAGGAGCGGCCGCCUGACCAAAUGAACUCCAAAUGAGCUGAAACUUUCCAGAUCCAUUCUAGACAUCCUAAGGAUCGUUUCUUAUGAAGAGUGCCAGAGCUAGAAUUGAGUGGAAGGCCUUCAAACAAUCAGCCCAAUUUCCUGCAGAAGCAAAACUGGAAAACUGGACCCGUAAGGAGUCCAGCAGCAUUUUCGGCCCAACCACAUGGAAUAAAAAUCUGAAAUUUUACCAGGGUGAUCUACACUCAUAAUGGAACAUUUUUUAUGAAGAGGUCAUAGUGAAAUUGGGAAUGCUUGUUGGAGAAAUAAUUGAAGGAAUAAAGGGGCAGAAACUGAUCUAAAAACAGCUCAACACCACAUGUUCAAGUUUCCUACCCACAUGAAGAAAGCUAGAUGCUUUUCUCUUUUUCCUUGGAUAUAUUUUUCUGCUCCAAUAGAUCAUCAUCACUUCCAUACUUCUACACCUUCAUGCCUUGCUUUCAUUUCAUCAUUACUCCAUCUUUUCCAUAUUUUACAAACCACUUUCAUUAUUUUUCUUCCAUUUAUCAUUUCACUCUUCUUUUUCUUCCCUAUAUAAACACCUUCUCCUCUCACUCUAAAAACAUUCCUUCAUCCAUUCCAUCUUCUUUGUCUCUCCAUUUCCUUUCCAUUUUUCUCUCCAUUCUCUAGUUGCAAAAUUCUGCGUUUUCAAGUAAGAAGAAGAAGAAGAAGAAGGAGCCGGGAAUAUCAUAUCCUCCAUCGUCCACCUUGAAGGCUUGCUUCCAAGAUUCAAGAUUUCAACGUUUCAAGCACUCCAUCUCCAUCUCCAACUCACGGUGUGUACCCUCAAUCCCCGGAAUAGAACGAUCCCUAUUUGCUUAUACUACUAACGAUGUUUUCAGGGUUAAAUUAUGCGCUUGCUUUGAGCGUAUCAAUUUUUGGCGCCGUUGCCGGGGAAUUGAAAAAUCACUUGUUUUUGUUUAUAAUUAUUGUAUAUAAACUGUUUGAAACUUAGUUUAAAUUAACUAGGUUGUUUUUUUUAUAUUGUUGAAUACGAGUUUAAUUGUGAGUUGUAAAUUAAAGAAGGAAUAGGUGAAGUCGUGUUUAUUAAUAUUGGCCUAAACCCCUUAUUGGUACCUAGUUCAGGUCCCUUAAGGUUGAGGGCGGCCUUUAUUAACAUUCAUUGAACUGUCUAACACACUUAGGACCUUUUACAUCCUAGUAAGAAUAUCCUAUGUGAGAUGGUGUCUAGGAAGGGGACAACGUUCAUGACGGGUUUUUGAAUCCAGAAGUGCUUACAAAUGGGCCUAGCUCAUGCCAAAAUGGAUUUUUCCUCUCGUGUUCGUCCUCCCCUACCUGGCCAUUUCAGUAAGGUUGCCCAACGGAUGUAGGAGGGACUUUGUGUCUAGGCGACUAUACUUGGGCCGCAUGUCCACUUGAUUUACCGCUUGGAAUUAGAUUUGAUAUCAAUAAUAUUUAUGACAAAAGAAAAUGUAACAAAAUGUUGUGAUACACUAAGGUAAAAAAAAAAAAAAAAAAAAACAUUUGUGUAAAUAUUUUUCAUGUUUUUUUUUUACUCACUUGUGUACCUAACUUGUGUCUUGUGUACAAAAUACUUGUUAAUUAUACUUGUAGUUUGUAAUUCAUAGUUACUUGUUUAUAUUUUUUUUGUAUUUCUUUGUUAAUAUUAAGUUACUAACUUUAUUUAAUGUAGGUACCGUCUGGCUGCAAGACGUAAAAUACAAGCGCUGCUUGGGAGGCAACCCAAUUCAGAAUAUAAUCAGAUUUGCUUUCUCUUCCCCUUUUACUCCUCCAUUUUCUUUUUGUUUUAGUAGUUAUUUUCGUAAAUUCCAUCCCUAUAUGCUUACUUAUUUCAUUGCAUGCUUUUAAUUGAUUACAUUGAGGAUAAUGCAAUAUUUAAGUGUGGGGGAAGGGAUUUAUAUUUUUGUCUUUCAUUUUGAAUCCUAUAAAUAUUUUUGUCUUUCAUUUUGUGUCCUAUAAAUAUUUUUGAGUCCUAUAUUUUUUAAUAAUAAUAAAAAUAAAAUAAAAAUAAAAAUAAAAAUAAAAUAAAAUGCAUUCAUUCAGUCUUAUUAAAUUCAGCUUUUUACAAAAAAAAAAAAAAAUAAUAAUAAAAAAAAAAAAAUUUAAAAAAAAAAUAAUAAUAAAAAAAAAAAAAAAUGCAUUCAUUCAGUCUUAUUAAUUUCAGCUAUUUACAAAAAAAAAAAAAAAAUAAUAAUAAUAAUAAUAAUAAUAAUACUCUAUACUAAGCCAUGUCUGCAUCUCUGUAGGAGUUGAGGCUGAGCUCAAGGGAAAUGUGAGAGCCACCGCCAUAACCGCUACCUCCCUCGGAAGUAGUCUUCAUGAUGCCCAAGAUGUCCUCACCAUGCAUGGGGAACAAUGGAAGAGUUUCAAUCUCCUGGUGAUCUCCUCCUCGUUGUUGCAGGGAUGUUUGUCCUCCUGUUGUGCCAAAAGAGUUGUACUGGUAUUAGUGUUGAAGUGUGAGGAAGAAUAUGAAACAAAAUUUAAAUCAAGAAAUCCUUCAUUACCAGUAGAAUCGGUGGAACCAAAGUUGAGAUUAAUGGAUCUACCAUCAUCAGUAGAACUAGUGGACCCAAAAUUGAUGUCAAUGGAUCCACCAGCUGGCCCAAAAUUGAUGUCGAUGGAUCCACCAGCACCAGUAGAACCAGUGGACCCAAAAUUGAGAUCAAUGGAUCCACCAGUACCAGGAGAACUAGUUCCCAUGGGCACUUGAGCAGCCUGAUUGCACCUCUUCAUCUGCUUCUCUCGAGCCCUGACAUUCUGGAACCAAAAAUAAAUGUUCUUGCCCUCAACAUGUCCAUACUGGUUCAGCUGGAGACAGAUCUCGUGAAUAUGCUCUGUAGUUGGGCGCUUAACUCCCUUGUCGUAGUAAAGAUCCUUGAGGAUCCUUAUUUGAUCUGGAGUAGGAACCCACCUGGCACGGCUUCGCCAGAAAUCUGUGUUGGCAUUACUCCCGGCUGCUUGGUUGUUUCCUCCAUCCUCGAUUUGUUGCUGGGUUUGUAGCUCCAUCAGUUGCAGAGUUCGUGGUUCCAUGGUGAUGGGUUGAGGGGAUGUGAAGAUCGAAGAGUAAAGUUGUCGAGUGUUUGAAGGAGUUGUUGUUAAAGGGAUUAAGGAUGAUGAUGGUGUGUUGGAGAUCUGAAAGUUCAGAGGAAAGAUGGGAUUGAAUCAACUAGAUGGGAGAGAAGAUCAGAAGAGAAGGAUUGAAUCGAAGAAGAAAUAUUUUGAGUUUUGAAAGAAGAGGAAAGCUGAAGAGUUGGGAGAGAGGGGCUGGAACUCAGGAGAGAUUUUCGUUCCUUUGGAGUGAACAGUUGCGCCCUCAGAAUGCACCUAUUUAUAGAGCGAGGUGAGCAGAUCUCCACCGUUGGAUGGACGAUUCCUGUGAUUCAUUCUACGCGUUGGAUUAAAGUCGCCCUGAAACCCGGAAAAGUUGUUGGCGCGUGGAGAGCGUGUAAGGGGACCGAGGGAAUCUCGAGGCGCUGUGGCAGACAGCUGUAGCCGAAAGCAGAUUUGACUGCCGUAAAUCACGGAAGGGAUAAGCCGUGACACAAGUGGGCCGUACUUGGGCCUGUCUCGGAUCAAGGCAUCACUGUAGCUGUGGGUGGAGGCCUGAUGGGCCGAGUUUCAGAAACAGUUUUGGACAUGAUGGGCCGAGUUUCUGAAACAGUUUUGGAUGAGUUGGGCUGGGUUUCUGCAACAGUCUUGGAUGUUUUGUGCCGAAUUGUUGAAACAGUUGAAACAGUUGGUUUAAAUAAAAGGAUUGGUAUGGAUAAUAACGUGAGCAGCCGUGCUCGAGUGGUUGAGUGUAAAGUUCGUGUACAAGAGGUCUGAGGUUCGAACCUCGCCUCUCGUUUAUUUUUAUUAUGUUCGUUUAUGACAUAAUAAGUAUAAAAUUUGUACACAUUAUAUUAAGCACAGCUUGUGCUCCAGUGGUUGGGGACAAAGGUUUCGUGUAGCAGGUUAAGGUUUCGAACCUUGCCUCCCCCGUUUUUUUUUUAUUUAUGUCACUCCAUCAGAACCCUCCUCCGAAGGCUGAAACCAGCAAGAAGGCUGCCACUCGCCCGCAUACCGCUCCUCCAAAGGAGUAAAUGGAGGUACAAGUCUAGGCUGAAAGACUUUAAACAUUAAGCGCUGCAUGGGAGGCAACCCAUUUCAACCGUAGCUGUGGAGGAGCCGCCUACACAGAUUUGCUUUCUCUUUCCCUAUCUCUUUUUAUUUUUUAAUUUUUUCUCUUUUGUUUUUAUUUUAGGAUUUAUUUUCAUAAAUGUCUUCUAUCUAUGCUUAUUUGUUUCAUUGCAUGCUUAUGAUUGAUUACAUUGAGGACAAUGCAAUAUUUAAGUGUGGGGGAAGGGAUUUAUAUUUGAGUCUUUUAUUUUGAGUCAUAUAUAUUGGAAAAUACAAAAAAAUCGAAAAAUGUCAAAAAUUAAAAAAAUUUCGUUGAUUUUAUUUAUUGAGUCUUAGUCCUUUGUUUUUAUUUUUGAGUCAUAGGAUGCCCUUUUAACUGUCUAGGAUGAGCUUAUAUCUCUGAAAUUAAGGCUAAAAGAGGAUCACAACAUUGAGAUGAUUUUAACAUGGUAUUCUUUGGUUAAUUGAGAUAUAUGAAAAAUGUAUGCACUUGUAGUGGAUAUGGAUUGCAUGACCUUGGUACAGAAUAUGAGCAUGUUAAGAUGAGUUGUGAUUCAUAAAAUCCAUGUGAGAUAAUUGAACCAUGUCCCUUUUUCUUGGAGUGAAAUGAAAAAUAUAUUCUUAAUUUCUUGGCGAUGUUUUGAUGAUCUCAUUAUUCUUUCAUCUUGAUUGACUGCUUGCCAUAGAUUAAGUUUAAUUGACUAGAGAAUGCUAGAAUUCGCUCUUGUGCUUGUUGAGACGUGAUAUCAAUACAUGGCCCUGAUUCUGGAAGGGAUAGAGGUUCUCUAGGAAUUACCACCAUUGCUAAAUAAACUUGUGUCCCCAUUUGUGCCCAUCGUGGGACCCCCCUAGAUAAACCCCUUUGAGCCUACAUUAAGCCUUUUCUUUCAUCACCCUAAAAAUCCUUAACCCCUGAACCUUAGUAUAGUGAUAAUCCUACCCUUUGUUCUAAAAACUUAGUGGAGCUAUCUUUUGAGACAUACUACAUGGGUUUGGUGCUAAGGAUGAAGAUUGAGAAGAGGUGAAAGUUCAAGUGUGGGGAUAGACUUGUCCAUAAAGAAAAAGAUAUGUUGAAGCCGUGAAAAAAUGAAAAGAAAAGAGAAAAAUUGUGUACGGCUAAAAAGAAAAAGAAAGAAAAAAAAUAUAUAUGUUUAUGGACUUUCAUCCCCCAUACUUAGUGAUUUUGGAGUUUGCUUUGAAUUGAAGGCCCACUACAGAAAAAUUUGACCUUUGUCCAUUUCACUAGAGUUCAAAGGAAGUUUAGAAGGAAGGUUGGGCCCAACAUGAAGACAUUAGCCCUUUUAUUUUACCUCUAUGGGUGUGGCGUUUUGAGUUGGUGGAUUUCUAGAAGUCUCUCUACAUCUGCAUGAGCUCUGCUAGGUUUUUAGGAUACUUUGACAUUCCAUACCUUUCAUUUCUGAAAACUUUGAGCCUUAGCCCCAUUACAACCCUUUGAGAAGACCUUCUUGAUCCUUAAGAUGGGACAGCCUUUGAUGUGGAGAUGAGUUACAAGAGUUGAACCUAUGGCUUGGGUCCAUUCGUGCAAGUAGUUGAUAUCCUUCAUGAGAUCUUUUGAAAAAAAAAUUAUAUUCACAAAGUGCUUUUCGUUUCUUAUAUAUGUGAGCUAUUUGACUGCCUUAAAAUAUGUUCUCUCACAUAUAAAUGAGUGAUUAUAAGCUUUUAAGCAUUGCCUUGAUCUGAGAGAAGAAAGAGUGGAUAUACCUUGUGAGGAUAUGAAUCAUACUUGUCUGAAGCAUGCUAAGCUAAACCCCAUCACCAUUGUUACAACCAAGUCCUACUUGUGUAUGUGUGGAUCAUAUGUUUUAAUUAACUCUCGAAUGCUUAACAUUGAUUCUUGGUUGAGUGCUAAUCUUGGUGUUGUGAAAGUAAGAGAUUUCUGAGUCAAUAUGUUAAAGGGCAAUAGAGGUCUUUGUGAUGUCAACAUCUUGGUCUUUGUCUUUGAAUUUACUCUUUUAUGUGUGACGUUUUUUUUUUUCUUUGUGUUUUGCUUUGUGUUUUACGUUUUUGGUUUCUUUGAGUCUUUGUGUUUUUGUUUCCAUACUUAGUCAUUUUUUUCGUUGGUUUCUUUGUUUUGUGUCAUAGUCUUUUUGGUUUGUUAGUUUUUGAUUUUGCUAAGGGACUAGCAAAAGCUAAGUGUGGGGGAAUUUGAUAGGAGCAUUUUAAUGUGGUAUUUUAAUAGUUAAUUCCUCACAUUUUGCUUAGUUAAUUCCUUAACGAAUCGAUUUUUAACUCAAUUUCUAUUUUCUUAGGUACAUUGGAGUAAAUGAUGGUGAAAUGAGCAUUAGGUCCACACUUACCUAUAAAUGGUGGAGAAAAAUGGAAAUGUACUAAAAUGUCAAUUUUACACAUUUUCCUACUCCGGCUAGGAGAAACCAAGCCAAGCAAGGAAGAAGGAGCGGCCGCCUGACCAAAUGAACUCCAAAUGAGCUGAAACUUUCCAGAUCCAUUCUAGACAUCCUAAGGAUCGUUUCUUAUGAAGAGUGCCAGAGCUAGAAUUGAGUGGAAGGCCUUCAAACAAUCAGCCCAAUUUCCUGCAGAAGCAAAACUGGAAAACUGGACCCGUAAGGAGUCCAGCAGCAUUUUCGGCCCAACCACAUGGAAUAAAAAUCUGAAAUUUUACCAGGGUGAUCUACACUCAUAAUGGAACAUUUUUUAUGAAGAGGUCAUAGUGAAAUUGGGAAUGCUUGUUGGAGAAAUAAUUGAAGGAAUAAAGGGGCAGAAACUGAUCUAAAAACAGCUCAACACCACAUGUUCAAGUUUCCUACCCACAUGAAGAAAGCUAGAUGCUUUUCUCUUUUUCCUUGGAUAUAUUUUUCUGCUCCAAUAGAUCAUCAUCACUUCCAUACUUCUACACCUUCAUGCCUUGCUUUCAUUUCAUCAUUACUCCAUCUUUUCCAUAUUUUACAAACCACUUUCAUUAUUUUUCUUCCAUUUAUCAUUUCACUCUUCUUUUUCUUCCCUAUAUAAACACCUUCUCCUCUCACUCUAAAAACAUUCCUUCAUCCAUUCCAUCUUCUUUGUCUCUCCAUUUCCUUUCCAUUUUUCUCUCCAUUCUCUAGUUGCAAAAUUCUGCGUUUUCAAGUAAGAAGAAGAAGAAGAAGAAGGAGCCGGGAAUAUCAUAUCCUCCAUCGUCCACCUUGAAGGCUUGCUUCCAAGAUUCAAGAUUUCAACGUUUCAAGCACUCCAUCUCCAUCUCCAACUCACGGUGUGUACCCUCAAUCCCCGGAAUAGAACGAUCCCUAUUUGCUUAUACUACUAACGAUGUUUUCAGGGUUAAAUUAUGCGCUUGCUUUGAGCGUAUCAAUGGGGAAAUGAUCAUUUACUCAUUUUUAGUUUAAAAAUUGCCUACUUACCCAAACACUCU